UAGUCCAUGCCGUAAACGAUGAUUACUAGCUAUUAGCGAUACAAUGUUAGUGGCAAAGCGAAAGCAUUAAGUAAUCCACCUGGGAAGUACGGUCGCAAGAUUGAAACUCAAAGGAAUUGACGGGGGCCCGCACAAGCGGUGGAGCAUGUGGUUUAAUUCGAUGAUACGCGAGGAACCUUACCAGGGCUUAAAUGCAGAUUGACAGGACUGGAAACAGUUUUUUCUCGGACAAUUUGCAAGGUGCUGCAUGGUUGUCGUCAGCUCGUGCUGUGAAGUGUCGGGUUAAGUCCCAUAACGAGCGCAACCCCUAUCGUUAGUUGCCAUCAUUCAGUUGGGCACUCUAACGAGACUGCCGGUGAUAAGCCGGAGGAAGGCGGGGAUGACGUCAA
rnacentral:rRNA from 1 species